rnacentral:lncRNA from 1 species
CCUUGUGCCCAUGGACAAACUACUGAGACUUUAGAAACCUGGAUGAGCUUCAUUUAUAGCACAAUGACAAGUGGGAUAUGCCCAACUUCAUCCCCUCAGAGGAGUUGUACGCAGCACUGUAGAUGGCACUUAGGUCCAAGACUGAACCAGGAGAAGCUACACUACUGAAGAAAAGGUAGGAAUAGCCCACCUUUUCUGUGGCUUCACCUCUUCAGGACUGCCUGUGCGAAUGUGGCUGUGUCUGGCAGCGGAGGAAAUGGGGGGCAACAACACUUCACGGAGCAUGGGGGCCUACCUGCAAAGUUCCCUCCAUGAAAGUCCUCAUUUCUUAUGGAAGGUCUCAUUAUCCCAGUGGAGAUGGUGUGCCCCAGCCAGCUGCAGGCAGAAGAGAGCAUGCAUGGAUGCUGUUUCUCAGAGAAAUCUGCUAGGAGAGGAUUUUCUGGAAAAUGCCUCCAAAAAGGUGGUAAUGUCCCACCGAGACAAACAAGAGCCCAUACAUUGGAGCGAGAUACAGGACAGAGAGACCCCAAAGUUCCACAUCUCCUCAGUCACGAAUGCUGUAUUGCCAGGGCAUGGGCUCUGCCCAUCCUGGUAG